rnacentral:rRNA from 1 species
UACGGAGGGUGCGAGCGUUGUCCGGAAUCACUGGGCGUAAAGGGCGCGUAGGCGGCGCGAUAAGGCGGCGGUGAAAGUCCGGGGCUCAACCCCGGAUCGGCCGUGGCGACUGUCGCGCUGGAGCACAGUAGAGGCGGGUGGAAUUCCGGGUGUAGCGGUGGAAUGCGUAGAGAUGUGGAGGAACACCGAUGGCGAAGGCGGCUUUCUGGGCCUUACCUGACGCUGAGACGCGAAAGCGUGGGGAGCGAACCGG